UGUUAUAUAUUUCUGUUGUAGAAUGCCAAGUACAUCCCAGAUUAAAACAGUUUCCAUAUGACAAGAUCAUAAGGAGGAGGACAUCAAAGGAAGGUGUUGAAGAGGUCAAAGUAAGAUGGAAGCCGUGCUCAGGAUGUGGGAUGAAAUGGACAGACACCUGGGAGCCCUACAAUCUUUUAUCUCCAGAAUAAGGAUCCAUGUCCCUGUGCCUUUAUCAGUGUUUAUUCUGAUUUUAUGAAUGAAUGCUUAUUC